AGGCUGAACUGACUUUCAGUGCAGGGGACAUUAUCACUGUGUUUGGGUCCAUGGACGAUGAUGGAUUCUAUUAUGGAGAGCUGAACCAACAGAGAGGCCUUGUCCCAUCUAACUUCUUGGAAGCUGUAACUUCAGAUGCAAGCGUGGUCGAGGAACUUCAUUCAAAAGAAAAAGAAGCUUUUCCAUUGAGUUCUGAGAGCCAGAGAAUGAGGAGGAGAAGAGUCCAGUGAUAGAUAUGAAUGAUACAUAGAGAGAGAGAGCAACCAUUUAAAUCCAGAUGGGUCUGUUGAUCAGAGCGACUCCUCACCAAUUCCUACUCUACCACCUUCCUGCCUUGCCAUGGGCGAGCAGUGUCCACAACAGGCAUCGCUGGCCGUUCUCAAAUGCGGUGAUGUACCUGGUCAGAGUAAAAAGAAGAGAGGCUUCUUCUUCAAAGGAAAAAAGCUCUUCAGAAAACUUGGGUCCAGUAAGAAAAAUUAACAAGGGAUUUAUUGUUCUGUUAAGACUGCCUGUGCAGUCCAAACAGGGACUAAAAAUUCAGGAGAAGCCCUCUGCAAUAAGCUGAUUAGAGUAUUUUCAUAGGGACAAAGUGUAUAUUGAAUAGAGAAAACUCUUCAGUGGGUCUGUGAGCUGUGGUCUCUGCUGAGAGCCCAGCCAUGGGUGCCCACCCAGCAUGGGCAGUGGCUCCGAACAGUGUCAUGGCACUGGGGGGUGUGAGGCCUCAGCUCUGGGAUACAGCUACCUCCAGAGUGGCGUGUCCUGCUCCAUGCAGCCCUCAAUGCACUGGUUCCCUGUAAAUAUUUUAGUUUAAAAAUUAUAUUCUGGCUGUAAGUUAGCUAAAUGGCUUUUCCCAGCAAAGCCCUGGCCCCUUAGGAAGAGCUCCCAUGUCCUACACACCCUGGUGUUCCUCUGGUCCGAAGGAGGUUGUGUCACCUCCUCCACUUCCUGCAAAGAAAACUUGCACUUUUCUGUUCCCGUGAAUCCCCUUUGCUGUCUGUGGGCUGACGAGUGAGUUAUUUGUACUGUAAACCUGUAAAUACGCGGCUGUGCCUAGGAGCAUCCCACACUGCCUCAGUCACGUCUCGGCACGAGGAUUCCCAUGGUGGAAGGAGCGAUACCCUGAAGGGCAUCGGUACUUCUGCCUGUAGCGUGGGCUGAAAAAAAAACUGGUUCACCUUGACCACACACUGGCUGGGGACUCCGCCUUAUUUAUUGAUUGAUUUAUUUAUUUCUCUAUCUAUCUAUUUAUUUAUUUUUUCGUCUGCCUCUUUCGCGGUUUUAUUUGGCUGUUUCGGUGGGCUGCUCCUCAGCUGGAGCAUUUGGAGAGCAGAGCUGGGGAUGGAGAGUUUGCAGCUAUUUUCAUACGAGAUGAUGUGUUCCUUGAGUUAAGACACAUCCCUUUCUAAGCCACGGAGAGUUUUGUACUACAUGGUUUCUAUCCUUUUCAGUGUUUCUUUCUUUGCAUGUUUCAGUGAGGUACCUGUUUUGAGAAGGACAGUUAUGUGAGGUUUGUGAAUGAUGCCAGCACAGUGUCCACGAGUGUUGGUGAUACGGUAUGUUUUUAUUUAAUAUCAAAUUUUAUUAUAAUAAAGUCUAUUUUCACAAAAAUACAUUUUCC